ACGCACGUGUGAAACUUGAAGGAAUUGACGGAAGGGCACCACAAGAACGCGUGGAGCAUGUGGCUUAAUUUGACCCAACGCGGGAAAUCUUACCGGGUCCGGACACACUGAGGAUUGACAGGUAGUUAUUACCAUACAAGGUUAUGAAUUUAUUUUCAUUCCUUAAAAAAAUUAAUAAAUAAAUAUGCUAGUUCUUUCAUGAUUAUGUGAUAGGUGGUGCAUGGCCGUUCUUAGUUCGUGGAGUGAUCUGUCUGCUUAAUUGCGUAUCACCAAAGGGGACAUAUUAAUAAAUUUCCAAUGAUGUGAUGUUGCUGGUCGUUCUUUAUUGUAACACCGGCCCCUUCGGCGGGAAUAUUGUACCCCUUGAUA
rnacentral:rRNA from 1 species